UAUAUUUUGGAGGCUCCCCGAUUUCUUUACUAAAUUGUGGCAGUGGUUCCACCCAUUUCUCUCCAUUCAAAUUGUAGAAAAAUACAAAAACGUAACGACUUUUUCCCUUGGGCCUCAGCACUUGGUGGAAGGGGCUCACAAAUUUGUCGUUGGUUAGCACCUGCCAUUUUUCCAUGCAUACAUUCAAGCAAUUAUCAAGG
rnacentral:lncRNA from 1 species